rnacentral:sRNA from 1 species
CCUCUUCGAUUUGCUGCGGACAAAUAAAAUGAAUAUGGGAAUCAAUGCCGCCCGCUGUCAGGAUGGCCCCCUCUCCUGCCAAUAUUUCAGUACCGGGGCCAAUAAUGAUAUCGACCCCUGGCUGGAUAUCGGGGUUACCCGCUUUGCCGAGCCCGCUGAUCCGCCCGUUUUUGACAGCUACAUCCGCCUUUACUAUGCCCCAGUAAUCGAGCACGAUGGCGUUGGUGAUCACCAAAUCAGGAGUCUCGGCGCUUGGCCGCUGACUCUGGCCCAUCCCAUCACGG